UACGAAGGGGGCUAGCGUUGCUCGGAAUCACUGGGCGUAAAGCGCACGUAGGCGGAUUGUUAAGUCAGGGGUGAAAUCCUGGAGCUCAACUCCAGAACUGCCCUUGAUACUGGCGGUCUCGAGUCCGGGAGAGGUGAGUGGAACUGCGAGUGUAGAGGUGAAAUUCGUAGAUAUUCGCAAGAACACCAGUGGCGAAGGCGGCUCACUGGCCCGGUACUGACGCUGAGGUGCGAAAGCGUGGGGAGCGAACAGG
rnacentral:rRNA from 1 species